GCACUGCUGAGGAGUCUCAAAACAGGACGAAACUGUCGUCCAGUGC
rfam:Schistosoma haematobium scaffold1536_10, whole genome shotgun sequence.